UACGUAGGGUGCGAGCGUUAAUCGGAAUUACUGGGCGUAAAGCGUGCGUAGGUGGUUUGUUAAGUCCGUUGUGAAAGCCCCGAGCUCAACUUGGGAAUUGCAGUGGAUACUGGCAAGCUGGAGUGCGGUAGAGGAAGGUGGAACUCCAGGUGUAGUAGUGAAAUGCGUAGAUAUCUGGAAGAACACCAAUGGCGAAGGCAAUGUUCUGGCUCGUUUCUGACGCUCAGGUGCGAAAGCCAGGGGAGCGAACGGG
rnacentral:rRNA from 1 species